rnacentral:rRNA from 1 species
UACGUAGGGGGCAAGCGUUGUCCGGAUUUAUUGGGCGUAAAGCGCUCGCAGGUGGUUCGUCGCGUCGUGCGUGAAAGACCCCGGCUCAACUGGGGGGUGUCGUGCGAUACGGGCGGACUGGAGGCCAGUAGGGGGAUGCGGAAUUCCGGGUGUAGUGGUGGAAUGCGUAGAGAUCCGGAGGAACACCAGCGGCGAAGGCGGCAUCCUGGACUGGUCCUGACACUCAUGAGCGAAAGCGUGGGGAGCAAACGGG